CCUACGGGAGGCAGCAGUGAGGAAUAUUGGUCAAUGGGCUUACGCCUGAACCAGCCAAGUCGCGUGAGGGAAGACUGCCCUAUGGGUUGUAAACCUCUUUUGUCAGGGAGCAACGCCGGCUACGUGUAGCCGGACUGAGAGUACCUGAAGAAAAAGCAUCGGCUAACUCCGUGCCAGCAGCCGCGGUAAUACGGAGGAUGCGAGCUUUAUCCGGAUUUAUUGGGGUUAAAGGGUGCGUAGGCGGAAUGCCAAGUCAGCGGUAAAAUCGCGGGGUUCAACCUCGCUCCGCCGUUGAAACUGGCGUUCUUGAGUGGGCGAGAAGUAUGCGGAAUGCGUGGUGUAGCGGUGAAAUGCAUAGAUAUCACGCAGAACUCCGAGUGCGAAGGAAGCAUACCGGCGCCCAACUGACGCUGAAGCACGAAAGCGUGGGGAUCGAACAGGAUUAGAUACCCCAGUAGUC
rnacentral:rRNA from 1 species